ensembl:lncRNA
AGGGCCGCACCCACAGCAUUUGGAGGCUCCCAGGCGAGGGGUCCCAUCGGAGCUACAGCUGCCGGCCUACCCCACGGCCAUAGCAACGCCAGAUCCCAGCCACAUCUGCGACCUACACCCCAGCUCACGGCAACACCAGAUCCUUAACCCACUGAGCAAGUGUAGGUUGCAGAUGCAGCUCCAAUUCGACCCUUGGCCUGGGAACUUCCAUAUACCUCCAGUGAGGCUGUAAAAAGGAAAAAAAUUGUAACAAAGUAUUUCUUUUGGCCUAUGAGCACUGUGAAAACUUAAGCAUUAGAGGCCCGCACACUGAGAAAGGUUAGGCCGCCCUGCAGCAGGUGUUUGGAGGUCUCUGUGUCAAGGAGCCGAGGAGGAGCUUCCCAGGGCGGGCAGGCGGGCGGCGAGCGCCGAGCACUCAGCCUGUGGGCCGCACACUCGGGCUUCCACUGCGGCUGCCGGGGCCCCGGCCCCCUCUCAGCCCAGAUGCUGUGCACAUCUGCGUCCGCUGUACCCCAGGCUCCCCUCUCAACUCCCUCCCGGAAGAGCUCUGUUCAGCUUGGACCUCAUGACUAAAACCCAAGCCAGCCCAGAAGCCAGCAGGGGACUUCCACAGCCGCAGCCACAGACCAAACCAUGAUGCCCAGGGGCAGGGAGUGCCCGACAGCCCCGCCUCUGAAAGGCCGUGACGUCCCAAGACUCAGCUUGGGCCACUUUCUGUGAGGAGGGGGUUGGACAAGGACAAAGGGCUGGAAGAGAACAAAGCUACAGACCUGGAAUUUGCUUUUUCAUGCUAAUUUCCUGGUAGGGGCGGGCAGUGACUCAGAGAAUGAAGGGAAGGCAGCCCGGCAGCCAGGAGGGGGCGGGGAGGGGCGGAGCAGAAAGGAGAUGCGAGUUCCAAUUCCAGGACGAGCCAAACAGGAAGAUGUUCUCAGUCUGGCCAAGAUGAGGCCUUUCUCCUUCCAUUAUCCCUCGUCUGAGCCCAGGCUAAGCGGAGAAAAGCUGAAAUGCAGGAGGGGCUCCAGGCUGGAAUGUUCCCCGGAAAUUCCUGUUUGGGAUAUUGCACUGGGUUCUCCUCACUGUCAGAGGGACAGACUGGGCUCACACAGCAUCCUGAGGACCGCGAGCAGGGUGGAGAGGGGAGGCCCGGCACAGGAGGCACGACGAAAGGAACCGAGAAUGUUCACCCCGGAGAGGAGGCUGUGCGGGGGGCCUGGCUCGUGCCCUGAGAAUUCUCAACGACGCUCAUGCGAGAAAGGGAGCGGAUCCACUUCCUGUGGCCCCAAAGGGACCUCGGGCAGCAAGAAGGUCCAGAACAGCCGAAAUAAAGGAGAACGUCUCACCCUGACCUUCCGACGAGGCGCCAAGUCCUCCUUAGCACCCAAGCCUGACCUCUCGGUUACAGACUAGGCUCCUGAGGACAAGGGCUGCCUUGUCCACCGUAACUCACCCUGUUUGGAGUACACGGCACACACUGGGAAACACGUGCCAGGUCAGCGAACGACGCGGCAGCUGGUGCCUACAGUGACUCACUCCUUCAGCAAGGUGUCGGUUUGGUUUGGUUUGGUUUUUUGGCUGUGCCCGGGGCAUGCGGAAGUUCCUGGGCCAGGGACAGAACCCGUGCCACAGCAGCAACUUGAGCUGCUGCAGUGACCACGCCAGAUCCCAGACCCGCUGCACCGCAAGAGAACCCCUCAAUAUAUAUGCUUUGGGGGCCCCGUGCCAGACGCUCAGUUCAGAUGCUGGAGCUACAAGGGUGAAAGGAGCAGCGAGGGCUCGUCCUGCCCGCCUGCACGGCGGGUGCGCACAGGCGGCACGGAGCGGGCCUUCUGCUGCCGAGGUGCGCUGAUCUUGGAGAGGACGAAUAUCUUCUAAGCUGAGAGGGAAGAGGACCCCAAGGGCCAUGGAGAACCCGCCUUCCAUCACUGCUCCCACCCACGAGCCUGGAGACCCAGGCCCGCCUAAGACCGCCUUCUCGGCUGAGGCGAGGCCUCGGCUGAGACUGCCCUGUGCGGGGCGGGACCGGCCAGAUGGGCGCUUUACCACGGUCCCGAGCACCCGAGACAAGACGAAGCCGGCUCCUGGGUGAACCUGGGCCCUCAGCCCAGCAGCAGGUAAGUGUGGGCCGGUGAGGUCACAGGAGCUGUUUCUGGGGCCCCAUAAUGUCCCCGGCAGCCGCAGGCAAUUAUCCUGCCGGCGGGCCUCUGGAUGACAACACAGUUACUGCAGAACAAGUCUCCAGGAAAUAAUUCCACCAUCUUCUCAAGAUACAGGCGUGGUUCCGACGGCUGAGGGCACGAGAGGGCAGCUCCAGGGCACGAGAGGGAUGAGGGGCACCAGCGACGUGCGGCCCAGACCCGAUCCACCGCACAGACAGCAGCCUCUUCAGAGGGGCCCUUCGCGGCCUGCACACUUAUCCCAAUGCCUUCUCAGAACAUUCCUGACGCUCCUGUUUGGAAACUGCCCUCGGAGACUUUCAAACAUUAUCUGAAUUUUCUCUGAAGGAAGAUAUGCAUCUUGCAAGGCUGCUAACUCCUACAGAGCCGGGUCCCACCAAGGGUACACACGAGAGAAACGCUCUUGGGUCGCAAUAAGCCGCCGCCGUCAGACAUGCCGUGCAGCCCUGACGUCAGAGGGAGGAGAACCGAGGUCCCCGAGCUCCACUUGUUAGGGCAGCGCUGUCAUCACUCGCUCGAGGUCGCAGGGCCCCCCGAGGAUCCAAAAGCCCUCCGAACCGCCACGGAAAAGGUCUGCGCCCACCGUUUCAGAGGCCGACACGCU